GACGAACGCUGGCGGCGUGCCUAAUACAUGCAAGUGGGACGCAAGGGAACACACUGUGCUUGCACACCGUGUUUUCUUGAGUCGCGAACGGGUGAGUAACGCGUAGGUAACCUGCCUAUUAGCGGGGGAUAACUAUUGGAAACGAUAGCUAAUACCGCAUAAUAUUAAUUAUUGCAUGAUAAUUGAUUGAAAGAUGCAAGCGCAUCACUAGUAGAUGGACCUGCGUUGUAUUAGCUAGUUGGUAAGGUAAGAGCUUACCAAGGCGACGAUACAUAGCCGACCUGAGAGGGUGAUCGGCCACACUGGGACUGAGACACGGCCCAGACUCCUACGGGAGGCAGCAGUAGGGAAUCUUCGGCAAUGGACGAAAGUCUGACCGAGCAACGCCGCGUGAGUGAAGAAGGUU
rnacentral:rRNA from 1 species